rnacentral:rRNA from 1 species
UACGUAGGCAGCAAGCGUUGUUCGGAGUUACUGGGCGUAAAGGGUGCGUAGGCGGCCCUGUAAGUACCUUGUGAAAUCCCACGGCUCAACCGUGGAACUGCUUGGUAUACUGGGUGUCUUGAGUCACUCAGGGGCGAGCGGAACAAAUGGUGGAGCGGUGAAAUGCGUAGAUAUCAUUUGGAACGCCAAUGGUGAAAACAGCUCGCUGGGGGUGCACUGACACUGAGACACGAAAGCCAGGGGAGCGAACGGG